GUUGGAAUUGUUGGAUCGCCGGGCCCGUUCCACUCUAACGACAUCGAUACUGUCCCCACUUAACCACCUGCACAAUCCUCAGGUGUGGGGUUUUAUCACAAAAGGCCUCGAUGUUAGUUAGAGUGGGGUUAUACUAUUUAAACCCCUUUGGUUUUCUUCACCCCACCGAUGUGGGACAAUUUUAACACUCCCCCUCACGUGUAACCUCAUUUAGUGGUUCACACGUGGAGAUCCACAUCGGUAAUUGAAACUCAGAGGUCGGCUCACGUUGGGCCUACUUGUUUUCAAUGGAACUCAGCGGUCGUCUCUAUAUUAAGAGCUCAGACUUGUUUCCUUCCGGGUGGUGACAAGCUCAUUGGCUUGCACACACAAGCUCGUUGGCUUGCACGGGCCCGCAACCGUGGGCUCUGAUACCAUGUUGGAAUUGUUGGAUCGCCGGGCCCGUUCCACUCUAACGACAUCGAUACUGUCCCCACUUAACCACCUGCACAAUCCUCAGGUGUGGGGUUUUAUCACAAAAGGCCUCGAUGUUAGUUAGAGUGGGGUUAUACUAUUUAAACCCCUUUGGUUUUCUUCACCCCACCGAUGUGGGACAAUUUUAACAA
rnacentral:lncRNA from 1 species